AAGGAGCAUCUAGGUUCCGCAAGGAACCCAGAGCCACUACGCCAGCGAAUGUCUGGCGGUGGUUAGCUCAUGGGUGGAACGUUGAUUAUUCGGCACGGUCAGUGAGGACUGUUAGUACUGCUUCGGCGUGGAACGCAGGUACGUCUACUGAUUGUGUCGGGCACGCUGUUGGGUGUCUGAAGGUGCGAGCGUUGCUCGUCCUUCGGGAUGCCGGCCCCGGUGAACUCGCCCUGUUGGGUGGGGUGGUGGGUGGCUGGUCGUUGCUUG
rnacentral:misc_RNA from 1 species